GCCGCCGUCUCCGGCGGUCCGCGAUCCGGCCGAAGUACGGGCCGCUCCCGCGCCCAGCCGCCUGCCCGAAUCCCUGCGCUCUGCCGGCUCCGGCACCCACAGGCUAGGGACGGGUGCUCGCCGACGUCCCAGGAAACGGGAGGCUGGGUGAGCCGCGCCCUCGCUGGCGGCCCCCUGAUGUCCAGCUCGCUCCCCGCGAACGGCUUUCGGGUGUCAAACCCGGGCGCCAAGUGCUGAGAAGCAGAGGGACUCCGGAGGAAGAGCGCCCGAAUGUGCAUCCCGGCCAAGCCACUUGAGAGCUCCGUGACGCUGGGCAAGUUACUUACCGAUUCUGUGCCUCGGCUACCACGUCUAUGAAACGUGGACGGUAAUACAGCAAAUCUAAUGUGUUAGGAUAAUGCAACUGAUAAUAAACUGUGGUGGAAUAAUGCCUAGAGGACUUAAUAAAAGCACCUGCGUGCCAGCCCUCUUCUAGACGGCGUUUGGCACUGGAAAGGCAAAAUCCUCAUGGAGCUUUUACAUCCUCCCAUUUAUAAACAGAUAAAUAAAUAUUUUGUAUGAUGUCAAGUGGCAACGUGAAGAAAAAUAAAACAGUAAAGGAAUGGAGGGCGAGGGCAGAAGGAACUAGCCUUUUUUGAUAAGAUAUCAGGGAAGACCUCUCUGAUGAAGUGGCAUUUGAGCAGAGAGCCAAUGGGACCCGGGAAAUGAGGGAAUGAGUCACUCUCAUAUCUAAGCGUGCAGGGUGAAGUGGAGCCUUUGGAGGCUUUUGAAAAGAGAAGUGACAUGAUCUGACGUUAGUUUUAAAAGAAUUAUCCCGGCUGCCAUGUAGAAAAUCACAGAACAAAAACGGAAGCAGAAAAGUCAGUUAGGGGAAGCUGCUGUGAGAGCCCGGGACAGAAGGAUGACGCUGAGUCCAGGACUGAGGUGAUACCCUAGCGGGGAAGAGAGAAGAAAUGAUCACUUUCAGCAUGUUUUAAAAGUCAGAGGCCACAGACUGGCUGAUGAAUUGGAAGUGGGAGGAAAGAAGGAAAGGGAUUAGGGUUACUCCGAGGUUGGCCAGAGCAACUGGGGUGAAAGGUGGUACCCUUUACGGGAGUGGGAACCCCGAGAGAGGCACCAGUUUGGGGCUGAUGGGUCAGGAGUCCAGUCUGGUAAUAACUGUGAGACGCUUAUUAUACAAGGAGGCAAUAAGCUCAAUCAUUCUGGAGUUGGGGAGAGACGUUGAGGUGGUCAUCAAACUAGGAAUCAUCAAUGUAGAGAUGCUACUUAAAGCCAGAAGACUGAAUGAGAUCACCCACGGGGUAAGUGUGUUAAGCAUGUAACAGAGGACUGAUCUUAGGAGAAAAACCAGGAAGGGCGGUGUGCAUAAGCAAGUGAAGAAUAAGGGAAUGAUUAACUCUGUCAAUUGCUUGUGGAGCAAGGUUGAGUGUUGAUCUUUAGGUUUGGCCAAAUGGAGGUUAUUGGUGACUGUGACAGCAUUAGCCAUCAUCAGCAUUAUUGUUUUAUUUAUCUUAUUAUAGCAUCCAUUUAUAUACUCUCAGCUCACCUCUCCUUACUACUACAUUUUAAGUAAAGACAAGAAUAAAUGUCCUUUGCUUUUCUACCUCAAGAGGGUCUAGCUCGUGGUAGAGGCUAAUAAGUAUGUAUUGGACAGAUGGGUUGAUGAGUGGUGAGUAAAUGAGUAUCAGUCAUACUUCUGGUUCCAUUUCAUUAUGUACCAUAUGUAACCUUUUUCUGAAUAGUAAUUUCCUAAAUGUUUAUCACUUUCCUUAGGCAUAAGACACUGAGCCCUCAUAUUAAGUUAUUUCUUUAACAUGAAAUCUACUGGAGAACUAAACUGUAAAUGUACUGUAUCAUUUUGUGUCCCCACCACCUAGCACAGUGUGUGUCACAUAAAAAGAACUCAAUAAAUGUUAGUGAGAUAGUGAAUAAAUUAAAGAAAUUGAGAACAUUUGAGAAAGAUGUAAUCCUCAGUUCAUCUGUGUUCAUGCGCUUGGAAAUAGCAGCUCCCAGUUACUGAAUGUUUACCAUGUGUUGACUAUUGUAUAUAAAAUUUCUAAUUUAAUUCUUUCAACAGCGUUUCUCAGUUAAGGUUCUUUUGGCUGCAAGUGACAGAAAAUGUGACCUAAGCUCGCUUAAGCAAAAGGGAAGUUUACUGGUAGAUUGCAGUAUUAUUUUUCAGAAAUAUUUGCUGCCCCUUCUCCACCCUAUGGCAUCGAGCUUGAGUAUGUGAAUUUGUUCUGGCCAAUGACAUGCAAGCAGGAAGCAUCCUCCAGGCAGAUGGUUUAGGAGCUAGUACUUAUUUUCCCUACUACUCUCUUUUCCCUCUGUUACAACUGGUGAUUUUCCAAACAGAGAUUGCUCCAAUCAUCCUGGGUCCCAGAUCAAAAUCGAGCAGAGUUGCAGCCAUUCUGUGUAACUAAGUGAGAAAUAAAUCUUUGUUGUUGUAAGCCCCUGAGCUUUUGGGUGUUUGUUAUCACACAGAGAGCAUAACUUAGCCUCCUCUGACAGUCACAUAACUGAAAAGUCCAUCGUCAUGGCUGAUUUUGGGAAGUGCUGUCAACAAGGGCUUAUACAAUGUCCGAGCGACUGCAUUUCUCUGUAUCUCUUCAUUCUGCCUCUUGCUAUCAGGACUUCAUCUUCAGGCUCCAAGCAGCGUAACUGCACAAUUCCAGAAUCUCCUCUGAAGUGGCAAGAGGGUUACAGCAGCUCUAAACUUUAUAUCCAGCUCUCAGCUUCACAGCCUGCAGAGAAUCUGCUCACAAACAAAAGCCGUGGUGUUUAGCCAUGAUGCUCUCAGUGGGCCAAUUUGGGUCACAUGUCCUCUCCUGAGCCGAUCAGAUCUGCCUGCAAGAAUCUCUCAUGAGCACGCGUUCUGAGAGAGAGGAGUAAGCAGAUUCCCCAGUGAAAGCUGGGCAUGUUGCUGGAAGAAGUGGGGGAUGGAUGCCAAGGAGUGGUCAAGAUGCCCCGUGAGCACAAAAUCCCAUCGGGUCCAUGAUGUGUGGGAGUUCAGUGAGACUCAAACCUAGUAUAAGCAAAUAAAAACACCAUGACAAAUUGAAAAAGACUGUGGAAGAUGACCUCACCAACACCAAAGAAACAACCAAGCAAUAAAGUGGAAGAUUAAUCACCAAGAUGUGGAUGUUAGAAUGUUUACUAUUAUUCUUUACCAAACAAACAACUACAAAAGGAAAAUGUCAGCAAAUUUCUUCCAGCAAGCUGAGACACUGGGAGUGUCUGCACAGAAAAAGAGAGCUACCUCGUCGGUUUCAGCAAAAACCACUAGGUUUAUAUUUUUUCCUGCUUUUACUAUUUUGGUAAUAGGAACUGAAAGAAGUAUUAAUACCACAUGGGAAGACCUCCCCCACCAAAGAAAUCU